UGGGGAAUAUUGGACAAUGGACCGAAAGUCUGAUCCAGCAAUUCUGUGUGCACGAUGAAGUUUUUCGGAAUGUAAAGUGCUUUCAGUUGGGAAGAAAGAAAUGACGGUACCAACAGAAGAAGUGACGGCUAAAUACGUGCCAGCAGCCGCGGUAAUACGUAUGUCACGAGCGUUAUCCGGAUUUAUUGGGCGUAAAGCGCGUCUAGGUGGUUAUGUAAGUCUGAUGUGAAAAUGCAGGGCUCAACUCUGUAUUGCGUUGGAAACUGUAUAACUAGAGUACUGGAGAGGUAAGCGGAACUACAAGUGUAGAGGUGAAAUUCGUAGAUAUUUGUAGGGAUGCCGAUGGGGAAGCCAGCUUACUGGACAGAUACUGACGCUAAAGCGCGAAAGCGUGGGUAGCAAACAGGAUUAGAUACCCUGGUAGUCCACGCUGUAAACGAUGAUUACUAGGUGUUGGGGGUCGAACCUCAGCGCCCAAGCAAACGCGAUAAGUAAUCCGCCUGGGGAGUACGUACGCAAGUAUG
rnacentral:rRNA from 1 species